AAUUUUCAAAAUUUAGAAAUGUAGAAAAGUAUUUUUAAACCAAUUAUAAUAAAGGAGAAAAGAGAAAUUCCAUGAAAAAUAGAAAAUCAGUAAAAUAAAAUGUGAAAAAAUAAAAAUGAGAUGAAGAAAAAAAAAGAAUUUUAGAAACUAUUUUGGGAUUUUUUGAAUGAAAAAUGAAAUUACUAUGAAUUUUUAAAGAAAAAGAAAUUAAAAUGAAAAAAGAAAAAGAAAUAAAAU
rnacentral:lncRNA from 1 species